CCGUAGGGUUGAUACGAGUCGAAAUCAACUUAGUGACUGAGCAUGCAUACUCGCAAACAUUUUAGCGGGCAUCAGAAUCACCUGGAGGGUUAUUUGAAUUGAAAAGUAGAGGGAUGUGCCCAGGAUCUGUGUUUUAAUUAGUUCCCCAGUUGAUUCUGAGACCCACUAACACUAACAUUUGAGACUUGAUUUCCUCUCUCCCUGUACUGUCCUCUUAAGAAAGAAGUCUCUGUGUGACGGUUUCUCCAGAGGACAGGGGCGUGUGCUCCACCACUUUGAAUGGAGAACAAUCUGCAUAAAUUAUUUGGAAUUUAUUUCUACAGCCUGUGUGCUCAACUGCCCCGUGGUAUGCGGGAUCUUACUUUUCGACCUGGAUCAAGUCAACAUUCCCUCCAUUGCAAGGCAGAUUCUUAGCCAUUGGACCAGCAAGGAAGUGAACGCCAAGGACCACCUUAAGAGAACUCUCUCUCCUUUUUUUAAUGUAUCUAGUGGCAUGUGGAACUUCCCCAACCAUGGAUUCAACCUGUGUCCCCUACAGCAGAAGCUCAGAAUCUUAACCACUGGACUUGCCAGGAAAGUCCCUAUCUACUCAUUUUAGAAGCUGCUUACAUCAGUGCUUUACUCCCUCCCCCUUCAAUGAGGUUAUGUCACACAUUUGUAAAACAGAUUCUUUGGUCUCUGUAUUCUGUCUUGUAGUUGUCCGGUCUCCCAACUGAUAUGUUUUUAAAUUUGCAUUCUUUAAGAUUCAUUCUCGAGUUGUAAAGCCCUGUGGGUUUUGGCGAAUACACAAUGUCAUGAUCACAACCAGAAAAAAAUCCCCAGGGCUUCCCCUAUUUAACUUUUCCUCCUCCCCAAAUUCCUGGAAGCUUCUGAUCUAUUUUCUGUCUAUAAUUUUGCCUCUUCUGGGAUAUCAUACACACAGAAUCAUACAGAAUGUAGCCUUGUCAGACUGGAUUCUUACACUUAGUAAAACAUUUAAGAUUCAUUCAUUUUGCCACACCCACAGUGUUUUUAUAACAAAAACAUGUACAUUGUUGUCAAACAUUAUUUCCUCUACAAACCAGAAUGUUUAAUAAAAGUCUGUAGACGCUAAUGAGGAAGUGAAAGAAAGUAGGUUUACAUAGCUGGACACAGAGGCAGAACAUACUAGUUACAAUUUAUUGUUUGUUAAAAUAACUUUUAUGAACAAUUUUACUGGUAAUGGAAAUUUCAUAAAGCACACUUAGGGUGUUUCUAGUACCAAACGGAUAUAUAUUCCUAAGAUCACAGGGAGAUAUCCUUCAUUUCAAGAAAAGUUUUAUUAGAAAAAAAUCAGAUUAAUAUAUAUCAGGAGUCCCCAUUUUCCAGGAGAAUUCUAGUAUUUCCUGUAAAAUAUUCAGAUUUCUUUGAAAUUUUAACCUGUUUGAUUUGCUUAAAAACUGAGUUUGUAAAUUUGAAAACACCUCUGUUUAAAGCGAAGUGUCCUCAAUGGCCCAAAGUUCAGGCAUUGAGCUACCUAAACUCCAAAUGGAUUUCAGAAAUCAUCCACCGAAUCAAGGACCCCACGGCCUCCGAGUCACUUCGACCUUCCCUAUCAGAGGAGAAGGGAAAUGAAAUUAUGGUGGUCAUGGUGAAGGCAUGCUAGGAUGAAUCUCCAGAGAAAAGGCCCACUUUCUGUUCCAUCUAGAUUUUACAGGAAGCCAGUCUGGAGGGUUGAAACCACUGGAGAUGCAUACAUGGUGGCUAGCAGACUUCCCAUCCGCACUGGAAUCCGACACGUGGACGAGCUUGCCACCAUGUCCUUGCAC
ensembl:lncRNA